rnacentral:rRNA from 1 species
GACGAACCGUGCGAACGUUAUUCGGAAUCACUGGGCUUAAAGCGCGUGUAGGCGGGACGGUACGUCCGUGCCUGAAAUCCCCCGGCUCAACCGGGGAACCGGGCGGGAUACGGCCGUCCUGGAGGGACAUAGGGGGACCUGGAACUUCCGGUGGAGCGGUGAAAUGCGUUGAGAUCGGAAGGAACGCCCGUGGCGAAAGCGAGGUCCUGGAUGUUUUCUGACGCUGAGACGCGAAAGCCAGGGGAGCGAACGGG